rnacentral:sRNA from 1 species
GUGUUACUUGUUGUGGAGAAAUAAAAUGAAUAUGAGAAUCAAUUGUACCAGGAGUACAAAUCGUAUUUUCUCCAGCAAUAAUUUCAGUAUUAGAUGAAAUUAUCAUAUCUACAUCAUCAGCAAUAUUUGGAUUUCCUGCAUUUCCAAUACCUACAAUUCUUCCAUCUUUUACACCAAUGUCAGCUUUGAUAAUUCCUAAAAUAGGAUCUAAAAUUAUUGCAUUUGUAAUAACAAGAUCAAGUGAAUCAUUUCUAGAUACUCCACUUGCUUGGCCCAUUCCAUCAC